GAUGAACGCUAGCGGCAGGCUUAAUACAUGCAAGUCGAGGGGCAGCAUGACUGUAGCAAUACAGUUGAUGGCGACCGGCAAACGGGUGCGGAACACGUACAGAACCUUCCUUCGAGCGGGGAAUAGCCCAGAGAAAUUUGGAUUAAUACCCCAUAGUAUAGCGGAGUGGCAUCACUCUGUUAUUAAAGAUUUAUCACUUGAAGAUGGCUGUGCGGCUGAUUAGGUAGUUGGCGGGGUAACGGCCCACCAAGCCCGCGAUCAGUAACUGGUGUGAGAGCACGACCAGUCACACGGGCACUGAGACACGGGCCCGACUCCUACGGGAGGCAGCAGUAAGGAAUAUUGGUCAAUGGACGAAAGUCUGAACCAGCCAUGCCGCGUGGAGGAUGAAGGUCCUCUGGAUUGUAAACUUCUUUUAUAUGGGACGAAAAAAGGCUUUUCUAAGUCGUCUGACGGUACCAUAUGAAUAAGCACCGGCUAACUCCGUGCCAGCCGCCGCAGUAACAC
rnacentral:rRNA from 1 species